AGUCAUAUGCUUGUCUCAAAGAUUAAGCCAUGCAUGUCUGAGUACAGACCGAUCUAAGGUGAAACCGCGAAUGGCUCAUUAAAUCAGUCAUAAUUCCUUGGAUAGUGAAAAACUUCCUCGGAUAACUGUGGAAAAUCCAGAGCUAAUACGUGCAACUGAGCUCCGACCUAGGCGCAAGCCUUGGGAAGAGCGCAUUUGUUAGAUUCAAAACUGACCGGCGUAUCCUUCGGGAUAUGCCGUUUGUUAAAUUGAUGACUCAGGACAACUAAGUCGAGCGCUCCGGUCGUACCGGCGCCGUAUCUUUCAAGUGUCUGCCUUAUCAGCUUUCGAUUGUAGGUUAAACGCCUACAAUGGCUGUAACGGGUAACGGGGAAUCAGGGUUCGAUUCCGGAGAGGGAGCCUGAGAAACGGCUACCACAUCUAAGGAAGGCAGCAGGCACGCAAAUUACCCACUCCCAGCCCGGGGAGGUAGUGACGAAAAAUAACGAUGCGAGACUCUUCCGAGGCCUCGCAAUCGGAAUGAGUCCAUUUUAAAUCCUUGGACGAGGAUCCAUUGGAGGGCAAGUCUGGUGCCAGCAGCCGCGGUAAUUCCAGCUCCAAUAGCGUAUAUUAAAGUUGCUGCGGUUAAAAAGCUCGUAGUUGGACUUUCUAGAUCCAUUUCGUGGGUGAGUCGCUCUUGUACUAGCGUCUCUGCAGUUCCUCGACAAAGUCGUCUCGCUUCUUUAGCGGCUUAAGUCGUUCUAGAGGUUGCAGACGUUCCAGAGUCCCGUGGACGGCGGGCGUUGUCUUAGAGUAUAGCUCGUCCGCGUUUGGUACAAUUAAAAUUUUGUCGGCUCGCUCGGAGUGCUCUUUACCGAGUGUUCCAGGGUGGCUGACACGUUCACUUUGAAAAAAUUAGAGUGCUUAAAGCGGGCUUAUUUACGGCCUGAAUGUCUGUGCAUGGAAUGAAGUAACAGGACCUCGAUUCUGUUGUUUUUGUCGGUUUUAAUGAACCGAGGUAAUGAUUAAAAGGGACAGACGGUGGCAUUAGUAUUGCGGCGCUAGAGGUGAAAUUCUUGGACCGUCGCAAGACUAACUACUGCGAAAGCAUUUGCCGAGAAUGUUUUCAUUAAUCAAGAACGAAAGUUAGAGGAUCGAAGGCGAUCAGAUACCGCCCUAGUUCUAACCCUAAACUAUGCUAACUAGCGAUCCGCCGGAGUCAUUCCCACGACCCGGCGGGAAGCCCCAGGGAAACCAAAGUCUUUGAGUUCCGGGGGAAGUAUGGUUGCAAAGCUGAAACUUAAAGGAAUUGACGGAAGGGCACCACCAGGAGUGGACCUGCGGCUUAAUUUGACUCAACACGGGAAACCUCACCAGGCCCGGACAUCAUAAGGAUUGACAGGUUGAGAGCUCUUUCUCGAUUUGAUGGGUGGUGGUGCAUGGCCGUUCUUAGUUGGUGGAGUGAUCUGUCUGGUUGAUUCCGAUAACGAACGAGACUCUACCCUACUAACUAGUCGGCGGAUCGUAACCCUGAGAUGGUUAGUUUGUAUGCUGAGCGUCGCGUCUUCGGGGAUUUGUAGCUCUAGAGGUUGGCUUUCUGUGAUUGCUGCUACUGCUGGGGGCGUCCGUCGCAAUGUAUCUUCUUAGAGGGAUCAGCGGCGUAUAGCCGCACGAGAAAGAGCAAUAACAGGUCUGUGAUGCCCUUAGAUGUUCUGGGCCGCACGCGCGCUACAAUGUAGGGCUCAGCGUGCUUUCCCUCUCCGAAAGGAGCGGGUAACCCGUUGAAACCCCUACCCGAUUGGGAUUGGGGAUUGCAAUUAUUUCCCAUAAACGAGGAAUUCCCAGUAAGCGCGAAUCAUUAAUUCGCGCUGAUUACGUCCCUGCCCUUUGUACACACCGCCCGUCGCUACUACCGAUUGAAUGAUUCAGUGAGGGCAUCGGACUGGCCUUCGGUUUAGUAUAGACCUUAGGCUGACGGAAAGAUGUCCGAACUUGAUCAUUUAGAGGAAGUAAAAGUCGUAACAAGGUUUC
rnacentral:rRNA from 1 species